rnacentral:rRNA from 1 species
AUGAAAUUUGCUUUCAAACUUCUCCAAAAAAACAGACUUACCAUGGGUCAACUGGUUUUUCCAGCACUACUCUCUAGACUUCGAAAACAAACCUCACAGCCCUUCCUACCUAUGGAGAAUCGUAAACGAACAAAUUCGAACCCUCCGCAAAAUCUCCUUUGUCCUUACCAACAAUGGCACAUCCACUUUCUUCUAGCUCGACGCUUGGCUUCUUCCGACUCUGCUAGCUGA